AUGAACGCUGGCGGCGUGCCUAAUACAUGCAAGUCGAGCGAACAGACGAGGAGCUUGCUCCUCUGACGUUAGCGGCGGACGGGUGAGUAACACGUGGAUAACCUACCUAUAAGACUGGGAUAACUUCGGGAAACCGGAGCUAAUACCGGAUAAUAUAUUGAACCGCAUGGUUCAAUAGUGAAAGACGGUUUUGCUGUCACUUAUAGAUGGAUCCGCGCCGCAUUAGCUAGUUGGUAAGGUAACGGCUUACCAAGGCAACGAUGCGUAGCCGACCUGAGAGGGUGAUCGGCCACACUGGAACUGAGACACGGUCCAGACUCCUACGGGAGGCAGCAGUAGGGAAUCUUCCGCAAUGGGCGAAAGCCUGACGGAGCAACGCCGCGUGAGUGAUGAAGGUCUUCGGAUCGUAAAACUCUGUUAUUAGGGAAGAACAAAUGUGUAAGUAACUAUGCACGUCUUGACGGUACCUAAUCAGAAAGCCACGACUAACUACGUG
rnacentral:rRNA from 1 species